UAAUAAUAAAGUUUAAGAUAUUGCGUUUUUUACAAAUUGAAGGCAAGACCUUCCACCAGCAAAAAGAUUAGGACUCACUUUAUUGCGGUGGUCUCGAACCAAACCCACAAUGUCUAUCUCUGAGGU